CUCACAGAAUUGCUCCGCUUCACUUUUACUAGAGAGAAAAACAAGGCUUCUUUUCACAAAAUAUACAGAAAUUUGUUUAUUCAUCACGGAAACAAAAACCAAAAAAAAUCGAGAGAAAAAAACCCUCAAAAGUCCUAUUUCCGUUCUCCUUCUCUCUUCUUCACUAUUAGUUUUCGGCUAGGGUUUCUUCUUGAUUUUCAUUGUACAGGGAAUAUCAGUUACGGUUCUUCUUUUCUUACGGCAUCAUAUUGUUGGUUAUAAUUGGAGGGAAGCAUAUUCUCCUGUGUUGAUUUUAGGUUCUUCUUUUUACGGUUUGAUAUUGUGAAUUAUAACAAUGUUUAUUCUUUCAUCUAUAUGAACUCAGUCAGAUCCCUAACCAGGUUUGAAGGUUCCAUUAAUAGCGGUGGUGAAGGUUGCAGGUAGGGUUUAAGGUUUAAAGCUUAGGACCAAUUUGGUUCAAUUUAAUGGCUGUGAAUCACCGAAAUUCCAUCUUUUUCGUUGAAAACUCAGUAUAACCUAAAAUCAUUAUUCAAGAAUUUGGAUCUGUAGGGUUUCACAAACUUUUCUUGAGGUAAUGAAGUAGAUUAUUCAAGAAUUUGGAUCUGUGUAUGCCUAUGAGUAGUCAGAGAGAAAGAGAGAAUGAUUUGAUUGGUAAGAUAAAUCAGUAGUUUCGUUUUAUUUUCAGUUUACUUUUGAGAAAAGUAAAUGAUUUUCCUGUUCUUCAUAUGCUAAUUUCUUAAUAGGGUUCUUAUGUUAUAACAGGUUUGAAGUUUGGGGUUUUGAUUUUUAUGAAAUUAUUGUGUUUUGGAUAAUUGAAGAACAUAUUUUAUUGAAGAAUUGAAACUUUAUUAGGUUUGUGAUAUUAUUGAAUUUCCUGUCAGAGUGUUAUUGUUAUAAUAUCAUAAGGUUUCCUACUUUUUGCAUUAAGUGAAACUAGAUAGUGUGAAAAAUGGCCAAGUGAAAGCUUCAGCAGAUUCAUAGUAUCUCAUUCAAUUGCUUUGUUAAUUGGUUAUUUUAUUUUUGUUAAAAGGUAAUUGUAGAUGUGUCUGAUAUAGUGAUAUGUCGUUGUGCUUUGAAUAUUUUUCAAGUAAGAAAAUGAUGGAAAUACAAGUUAGAUUAUGAUUAGUUCAAACAGUGGAUUUUCCAUGUGCAGGUUUGAAACUGUUUUUCUCUCCACCAGGUUGUAUAUUUUUUAAGUUCAGUUAUGCCGUUAUGUAUAUUUGAAUACUAAUUUUGGUAUAUUUACUUUUAAAAGUAGAUAGUUAAACAACUUACAAGAAGGUGUGUUGGUUAACACCAUUUUGCAUAAUCGUAUUACAUAUUAUCCAAAGGUCUGAGUUAUGUUUUUUAUUAAUUAUUUUGCUUUUGUUUUUGUUUCAUCAUUGAUUUCGAAAUACAAUUACCUUGGGUUUAGAUAGCAGGUUAAGGUAUACUCGGUGGAGGAAGCAAUCUUCUUAAUUUGGUUGUCGGUUCCAGUGUUAUUCAGUUAUAGUUCCCUAUUGUUUGGUUGCAGGUGCUAAUUUAUCCAAGUCAACAGUUAACUGAUCACAAAGAAAUGGAGAUGGUUAAGCAAUACUCUGUAUCCUUUUUAAAUAACAAAGGUUGAUCUUCUUCAGCCAAGAUUCAUCAUCUUCCAUCAUUCUAUUCUAUUCUUUUUAUGGUUUGAGAGAUAGAGAUAGUGGAUAUCUUGGUAAGCAUAAUCUUCUUAUACGCACACUGAAUGCUUACAGUGGCAUGGAAGGAAUUUGUUGGUUUCUACUGUUACUCUUUGCAAGGGUAUGAUCUUCUUAUAUGCACACUGAAUGCUUACAGUGGCAUGGAAGGAAUUUGUUGGUUUAUAAGCUAUUACUCUUUGCUGGGGUAUGAUCUUAUAUGCACACUGAAUGCUUAUAGUGUCAUGGAAGGAAUUUGUUGGUUUCUAAGUUAUUACUCUUUGAAGGGGUUGUGGUUUUGCUCACAUUGGGUAUUCGAAGUAGCUACUUUCGCUGAUUGGCUUCUGAGCUAUUAUUCAUAAUACUAUGAGUAAGGAGUAUUGAUAAUGGCUUAGGGUUUCUGCAAUUACAUCGGAUCAAGUUUGGUGGUCCGCUUUUCAAACACCAUUUAAUUGUAUUACUACCAGCAGGCCUUUUCACUCCUUGAAUACAAUAUUUCUAUCCUAUCGAGUUGGUUUUUAGUUCCAUUGCAGGUGAAUGAACUAAAAUUAAUGGAAUCAGCUGACGCACAUUAGCAUUUAGCAGGAUCAGAGAACUUCAGGUAGUCCAUUUUUGGUUCAUAUAUUGCUUACACUUAGAACUACAUAUGAUAUUGAUGUUAUCAUUGUUAAUCUUUCAUACAUCAUCUCAUUGUUACUCAACAAUGUUUUUAAUGUUUGUGGUGAUGACCCAACUCGAUAUCGUCCUUUCAGAUGAGUUAACUUCUAGAGAUAAUUUUAAUUAUCAUAUUUUGAUUGAGUACUCAUUUACAAUGUUCAAGAGUACUCAUUUUAAUUAUUUGACCAUAUUUCAGUCGAUAAGUUGAAAUGUGGACGUUCUCAUACAGUGCUUGGCCUUUUCUUCUUCGUAAAAUCGGAAAGAUUUCACACACUACCUUUUAAUUAUAUAUUUGUUCUUAUCGUGUUAAUGCUUAACUUGGAGGGAGAAAGGCCAUUUUUUUUUCUGCUGAUAUCAGGGUGUGGGUUCACUAAAUGGUGCUCAUAACUCACAAUCCAAGAACCAGAGCCGUUAUUUUUAUGGAAUAACCGACAUGGCAUCCUAGACAUGAUGUGUUUGCUAAGAUCUGUCUUUGGUAAACUCAUAUGUGGAAAUUGUCUUUGUGCAAGCACCUGUUGCGUAAGGAGUGGAAAGCUUUGUUGUUGAUUUUAUUAUGGAAAGCUUAGGGAAAACUUUAUACACGCACUAAGCUGAUCACUUUUUGAACAGUCAAAGAAGAUGAGGACAUAAUUGAAAUGAAGCAGUCAAUGGGGUAUGAGAGAUCAAAGAGUAUAUCUGUUUGUAAAAUACUAUGUAUAAUUUACCCUUAUGUGUUCAGAAUAUUAAUGUAAAAGCAGGUCAUAAUUCAUAUUUUUAUUUAUUUUUGUA